CAUCAUAAUUGAUAAAUUAAAAGGGAAUUUGGUGACACAAUUUAUUGUUAUCCCAAAGCUGUUCCCGCAACUGUAAGCUUAGUUCUUUUAGAAAGGACGCUUGUAAUAAUUCUUUAGCCACUGUUUUAAAACUGUACUAAUUCAGUUAAAAUGGGAAGGCAAAUUACAAGACGCGAGCCAGGAGACCUGCCAAUGAUCA
rnacentral:ncRNA from 1 species